AUUGAACGCUGGCGGCAGGCCUAACACAUGCAGGUCGAGCGGAUGACGGGAGCUUGCUCCUUGAUUCAGCGGCGGACGGGUGAGUAAUGCCUAGGAAUCUGCCUGGUAGUGGGGGACAACGUUUCGAAAGGAACGCUAAUACCGCAUACGUCCUACGGGAGAAAGCAGGGGACCUUCGGGCCUUGCGCUAUCAGAUGAGCCUAGGUCGGAUUAGCUAGUUGGUGGGGUAAUGGCUCACCAAGGCGACGAUCCGUAACUGGUCUGUGAGGAUGAUCAGUCACACUGGAACUGAGACACGGUCCAGACUCCUACGGGAGGCAGCAGUGGGGAAUAUUGGACAAUGGGCGAAAGCCUAAUCCAGCCAUGCCGCGUGUGUGAAGAAGGUCUUCGGAUUGUAAAGCACUUUAAGUUGGGAGGGAGGGCAGUAAGUUAAUACCUUGCUGUUUUGACGUUACCGACAGAAUAAGCACCGGCUAACUCUGUGCCAGCCGCCGCAGUAACAC
rnacentral:rRNA from 1 species